rnacentral:misc_RNA from 1 species
UUAACUAUUAUAUAGUACUCAGACGACACUAAUAUUCGGAGUUUUGGGGUCCUUUGGCGAGCACUUACCAGCCAGAGCCGGUAGCCGAGGCGGCCCGCCAAAGCAACAAAGGUAUAAGUAUUCAAGGGUGGGAGAUCUACCCGUGAGGGCAUGAACUCUGUAAUGAUCCUUCCGCAGGUUCACCUACGGAAA